rnacentral:lncRNA from 1 species
UUUCAUUGACAUUAAAAGGUUGGUUGACACAAGUAUGUCAUCCUUUGUUUCAGGAACAUGAAAAGCCUAAAAAAUUCUGAAGUAAAUAUUACACUUAAACAUUCAUCUUUAUCUAUUGCUUUCAGUUUGUUUCAGUCUUUAAAUCAAGUCAAGAAGGGUAGCCACAGUUUUUGAUAGUAUAGUUAAUUUACAUGGUUAAUGCCACCAUCUUCAAGACAGGUAAUAAUUUAAGCUUUCGAUGCCGCUGGUGUGAAGACAACAUAAGCUUGUGGUUUCAAUUCCUAUAUUAGCUGUUGGUGAGCACUCCUCUUCAAUCAUAUGAACAGUCUUCAUCCAUGUGUUAGUCUUUAUUGCCUCAUUGCACAUGAUCAUUAUUUUGAGCUGUUUGAAGCCAUCAAUUCUACUCAUUAUGAUUGGUUGGUCCUAUAUAUGAAAUGCCAUACUCUGACAAUUCCCUUACUAUUUAAAAUGAUGGAGACAACAUUUUAUUUGGUUCCUCAGAGACAUGAUUUAAUCUGUGUUUUUUGUUUGACCAGCUCUUUCUUUGUGGAUCUUUAAGUGCUUGGACGUCUGCCAUAAAGGUUUGUGAUUUGUCAAUUUGACUUCUAGGUUGUCUUAGUGGUGACAGGUGAUGGCACUGACAUAUCUUAGGGCCUACAAGCACCAAUAAUACUGGACGAUUCAGCAAUAAAAAGUGAUGCUUAGGCUUCACCACACCUAUUUGGUGGCAAUCAGAUUAGGUCCAUGCAUAGAUUAAAAGUUUGAGAACUUAAUAAUAUGUCAAUGGAUAAUUCUGGACUUUUAGUUUUACUAAAUGAGCAGAAUCACACCCUAAAAACACUGGCCAGUUUGAAAUAAGGUGAUGAUCAUCAUGUCACUUUGUUGAUUUCUUUGUCUCUGUAGCAACUUCAUUCACCAGCAUUUUGCAGGAUUAUACCUCAAUUUGAUUUCUAUCACACACUGCUCCCCAUCUUAACUGAUGAAUUGUGGCCAUUGUUCUUUCUAAAGAAAGUAGCACUUGAAUGAUGCAUGCAUCUAUGACAGACACCACUUUCAUUUAAAAAACUGAGUGAAACUUGGAUCUCUUAGAUGGUUUGUGGGGGGCCAAAAGUGGCACUGUCAAUCCAACAAGUGUUAUACAUAAUUAGUAAAACUAUUCAAUGCAGAAUCCCCUAUGUUUUCUUCUUUUUUCUUACAAAGGUCAAUUGCCAUCAUAUGUUGGGACCCUUGCACAUCCCAUCAUUCAUGAAGGAAAUCCUACAGCACUCCGGUCUCCAUGCCAUUUGAAGAACCAACAGUAGGAUAGCCUGUGGAUUACUAGUAUGAAACAAAGGUAAGAAAAUCCAACUCAUAAGAAUGUUAUUCCUGCUUGAUAGGAAGAAGGGGGCGACAGGGGUAAAGAUGGGGCCAUUGCAAUGAGAAUGAUCCAAAGUAAACUUUGAGGCAUGUCUGUCAUUCUUGAGCACUUGCGUAUUAUUAGGACAAUGUGCUUUGGUACGGAAGGAGACAAAAUCCAAGAAAUUGGGGAAUUAGGUAUCAUCUUUCCUUUUCUAUUAAUGCCGAUGGACAUGACAGCUCUUGAGGACUAAGGCACUCCCAAAACUAAAUUGCUGAUGUACAGAUAUGAGCGUGCACAUGCUCAAUUUCUUGUAGGGAAACUGUGUCAAGAAUAAAGGUCGUAUAUGCAGAUGAUAAUUCUUCGACCAUAAUUUUGCUAGUAACCAAAAGAGGGAGAAGAGAAAGAAAUUGUUUAGUUCUGCUAUAUUGAAAAGUGAAAAAGGUACAAAGAUUCUACACCACAUUGCUCUUCUUCUUUUCCUGAAAUCUUCCAGUCUUUGGAAGGUGGUAUUCUUAAUCAUGCAUCAGUUGCUAUCCCAGUUGCUUUCAUAUUUUCAGAGAAACACUUUGGUGACCUCAUUUCAUGAUCUUAGGACUCAUCCAUUGAGAGUAAAAGCUCCUUUUGGCAGUACUCCCUACUAAUUGAUGGACUACUUGUAGAAACAAUGUGGACCACCUUCUAAUGUUGGCUUAUUCACCCUUCAAGACAAAGAGAUAAGGUCUGGGGCUCACAGCCUUGUGUAGUGAUCAUAGUAGGACAACAUUAUCUUUGCUACAUUGGUCUUCCUUGAUACCCAAGCAGGACAUGCCAAUAUGCUACUUCACUGUCCCUUAGCUGUAACCAAAUUGAUGUUUCACUAGUAUCCUCAUAGACUACCACCAUCAUCACCCCUUGCACGAUUAAAUUGAUGUUUCACAGAUAUUCCAUGGCUGGCUGUAGUGAUAAGGUCUGUGAUUCACAAUGUUUUUUUAUUUAGGAAAUGUUUUCUUAUUCUCUUGAUACACUUGCACUCACCAGGAAACAUCGGCAAAGGCAAGGUCAACUUCAUUGGAUCACUAGCAUGGAAUAUUUGCUGCAAACAAGUGCAAGUAUAAAAUGAAGAUACUCUUAGUUUGAUGCUUAAUGAUGGAUACAAUGUAUGGAAUAUUUGCUGCUAUAGGGGUUCACAGAUUGACAUUAUUUUAGUGCUAGUCAAAGCCACCACAUAUUUUUCUCUUUUGUCAAAACAUUGAUCUCAUCUUUGUUAUUGGCAAAGCCAACCUUGACUUGACUAAACAAGCAAACCAAAUCUAUAUUGAACUAUUGUGCCCAGGAAUUACUUUAUAUUUGCUUGUGUACUUCUCUUCAAAGAUCUGUGACUAACAACUAUUAUACUACAGUUGAUGUUGGUGAUUCACUAAACUUGAGUGGUAGAAGAAGCAUCAUGUACUGUUGCUGUUCAUGGACUCUGCGUCAAAUGUGCCUCCUUGUUCGAUGAAGAACACGAAUCCUCGGGCAUAUCAUUGGAACUGUAUUUU